UACAGUCCAAAGGAGGAUAAUCAAUAUAAAGUUCCCUCUUGCUCCAUAGCUACAAUCAUGGCCUUUAAAUUCUUCUCUUGCUACAUCAAAGCUCUGAUCACCUUCAUUUUGGUGGCUAUGCUCAUAUUCCUUUUACAGUAGGGUUUGUUCCCCUGCAUGGGUUUGAUGUAUUUUCAGUUCUGGAUUUUCAUUAUGCUUACCUAUGUGUUUUUUCUUACCUAUCUGCAUAUUAAAAACAAAAAACCUUUUGAUAAAGAUAUGGUUUUCAGUAUCUUUUUAAUGCAUAUUUUCCUAGUAAGCAAGAAUUUCUUAAUUUCAUUAAUAAAAAGUCAAGAAAAAUGUAGCAAACCCAGCUUGCUAAACCUAGAUGAUAGGUUUCUGUACAAUUCUACUUAGCCCUUCGUCUUUGAUAGUAUUUUACGAAGAAAAAAAACUAAAGAGUGAAAAUUUUGGAAGGAAAUAAAAUAAUGAAGAGGUUAAUUUUCUCUAUUCUUACUUGGAUAUUAGUGAAGAAAAUAAAAGAGGAAAGCGACUUUUCGAGUACUAAAAUAUUUAUUUUAUUCUACAUAUUUGUAAUUAAAAUAUAUGAAGAUAAAAUAUAUAUUUGUUCAUUUUAGAUCAUUUGUUAAGAUGUAAUUAAUUUUGUUUUUUUCCUUCAUGCCACCCUGAUAGCUAGGGCUGAGCAGAUUUCGGUUCAAACCGAAAAAAUCGACCGAACCGAACCGAUUUGAAAAUUUAGUUCGGUUUUUUAUACAUUUCGGUUCGGUUCGGUUUUUAUUUUCAGAAAUUUCGGUGAUUUCGGUUCGGUUCGGUUUUAGAUUCAAAAAUUUCGAUUAAACCGAACCGAACCGAAAUCAUCAAUACUACGUCGUUUUUAAUAGUUCACUUAUUUGCCCUAAAUAUAAAAGUCAUCUCGUCUGCCACAAUUCGCAUUCACACUCUGUUGCUCUCCAUCCAUUUCAGAUUCCAUCGCCGCCUGCCCUCACCUCACACUCACAGUGCAUGUGCCUCCAUCCACUCCAUCCACCACUUCCAGCGGCGCUUCCACCGUCCAACCUCCACUUUCCUCCCGGCGACAUCGAUUGAUUGACCAUCGUCGGGUACCUCGGCUUGUACGUUGCAGCUGUGUGACCCGUCGCUGCAAUCGUCGGUGCCGCGUCACCCAUCGCCGCUGUCGUGUGCUGUUGUGUUGUACAUCUGCAUCGCUGUCGUGCACUGCCGC
rnacentral:lncRNA from 1 species